UACGGAGGGGGCUAGCGUUGUUCGGAAUUACUGGGCGUAAAGCGCACGUAGGCGGCUUUGUAAGUUAGAGGUGAAAGCCUGGAGCUCAACUCCAGAAUUGCCUUUGAUACUGCAUGGCUUGAAUCCAGGAGAGGUGAGUGGAAUUCCGAGUGUAGAGGUGAAAUUCGUAGAUAUUCGGAAGAACACCAGUGGCGAAGGCGGCUCACUGGACUGGUAUUGACGCUGAGGUGCGAAAGCGUGGGGAGCAAACAGG
rnacentral:rRNA from 1 species